rnacentral:rRNA from 1 species
AAUUUUUGACAAUGCGGGAAACUCUGAUCCAGCCAUCCCGCGUGUUUGAGGAAGGGCUGUGGGUUUUAAAGGACUUUUUGCAGAGAAGAAAAGGUACCUCCUAAUACUAGGUAUUGCUGACGGUAUUUGCAGGAUAAGCAGCGGCUGACUAUGUGCCAGCAGCAGCGGUAAUACUUAGGGUGCAAGCGUUAAUCGGAAUUACUUGGCGUAAAGCGUGUGUAGGCGGUUCGGAAAGAAAGAUGUGAAAUCCCAGGACUCAACCUUGGAACUGCAUUGUUAACUGCCGAGCUAGAGUAUGUAAGAGGAGGGUAGAAUUCCACGUGUAGCAGUGAAAUGCGUAGAUAUGUGGAGGAAUACCGAUGGCGAAGGCAGCCCCCUGGGAUAAUACUGACGCUCAGACACGAAAGCGUGGGGAGCAAACAG